UUAAAAGGCUGCAGCUCUUGCAUAAGCGCAGUGGCUUCUUCAAAAAGCCUCUCUGUUGGGGUGCUGGGAGUUGGACCCCCACUGAUCUAAUAUGGAUAUCUUAUCUGGAGGACAGGCCAUCAAUUUUAAAUGCCUUGGUUACCCCUUUAAGUUAAAAGGUUAAAAAUACCGGAAAAAUAUCACCAGAAAGAGUGGAAAUGGAACUUGCAUAAUCUCCUCCAAGGCAUCCUCAACCUUCUUCCAAAAACUACAGACCAAAGUACAUGCCCAUAUUUAGUGUAUCAAAAAAAUAAAUAAAAAAAACAGCCUCCUUCUACCCACAACUAAGGCACUCAAAAAUAUCAAGUCAGAAGAAAGUGUACAACUGAAAAUCUUUGGGAUACUGCAGCAGGGGAUACUGAUGGUGGGGAGGAUAAAAGACUCCAACUAAUCCUCAUGUGAACGGAUAGGAAUCAGUCUCUUCCACCAUAAAGGACAAAGCUCCAAAGCACUGCACCGCUGAUGUCAUAAUUAAAAAUUUGUGUCAUCGUGAAUUUUGAAUCUGAAGAAAGUCACAAAAAUUAUGAACAGAGACCCAGAGAAUGCCGCUAAUCAUCACUACCAGAAGACAAUGUUUAGGAAAUUACUGUAUUAUGCUAUUUGUGCAAGACAUGUAUGGCUACGCAAAAAUGUAUCAAAUUCUGUUUAAUAAAUUUAGCAGACGA